rnacentral:rRNA from 1 species
AGGACGAACGCUGGCGGCGUGCUUAACACAUGCAAGUCGAACGGAAAGGCCCGCUUGCGGGUACUCGAGUGGCGAACGGGUGAGUAACACGUGGGCAACCUGCCCUCAGCUUCGGGAUAACACUUGGAAACAGGUGCUAAUACCGGAUAAUAACCUUUCAUCGCAUGGUGUGGGGUUCAAAGUUUUUCGGCUGGGGAUGGGCCCGCGGCCUAUCAGCUUGUUGGUGGGGUAAUGGCCUACCAAGGCGACGACGGGUAGCCGGCCUGAGAGGGCGACCGGCCACACUGGGACUGAGACACGGCCCAGACUCCUACGGGAGGCAGCAGUGGGGAAUAUUGCACAAUGGGCGAAAGCCUGAUGCAGCGACGCCGCGUGAGGGAUGACGGCCUUCGGUUGUAACCUCUUUCAGCAGGGAAGAAGCGCGAGUGACGGUACCUGCAGAAGAAGCACCGGCUAACUACGCGCCAGCAGCCGC